rnacentral:rRNA from 1 species
AGCGAACGCUGGCGGCAGGCCUAACACAUGCAAGUCGAACGAACCCUUCGGGGUUAGUGGCGGACGGGUGAGUAACACGUGGGAACGUGCCUUUAGGUUCGGAAUAACUCAGGGAAACUUGUGCUAAUACCGAAUGUGCCCUUCGGGGGAAAGAUUUAUCGCCUUUAGAGCGGCCCGCGUCUGAUUCGCUAGUUGGUGAGGUAAUGGCUCACCAAGGCGACGAUCAGUAGCUGGUCUGAGAGGAUGACCAGCCACAUUGGGACUGAGACACGGCCCAAACUCCUACGGGAGGCAGCAGUGGGGAAUCUUGCGCAAUGGGCGAAAGCCUGACGCAGCCAUGCCGCGUGGAUGAUGAAGGUCUUAGGAUUGUAAAAUCCUUUCACCGGUGAAGAUAAUGACUGUAGCCGGAGAAGAAGCACCGGCUAACUUCGUGCCAGCCGCCGCAGUAAAAC